AUAUGUUUGUCAUAGCUAUCUGGUAAUUACCAAUGAACCCUAGGUUAUUUUUAAGGCUAUUUACGUAUUUUCGAUUCUACAUGCAUAAGUGUCAAACUGGUGUAAUGAAGGAAACUUCUUGGUAAUGGGUUAAGUGUUAACGUUUCGUGCAUACAUGUUUAGAUUCGAUGAAUUAGUAAUAUGAUAUGUUUAAAUAACCUUAUUUUUAACUCAAUUAGCUACUAAAGGUCCAAGUGACAAAGGCAAAUGACCUGCUAUUUACACUUUUUCUGGUGAGUUCCUUCUUACUUCCAUGUGUUGUGAUUAUCUUUACUUUAUAAUAUUGUAAGAUAAGUAAUCUUACUCUGUAAAGGAUGAUCAAUGUAUGUGUGCAUGAUAAUAGUUGUCUAUCCAAAGUCAUUAGUCUGAGUUCUAUAUGUCUAGGAUAAGAAGUAUGGGUCAUUUUCAUGUUAAGCC
rnacentral:lncRNA from 1 species